GCAAAACGCGAAGAACCUUACCAGGGCUUAAAUGUAUAAUGACAGGGGUGGAAACACCUUUUCUUCGGACAGUAUGCAAGGUGCUGCAUGGCUGUCGUCAGCUCGUGCCGUGAGGUGUCAGGUUAAGUCCUAUAACGAGCGCAACCCUUAUCGCUAGUUGCCAGCGUUUCAAGACGGGGACUCUAGCGAGACUGCCAACGCAAGUUGCGAGGAAGGUGGGGACGACGUCAAGUCAUCACGGCCCUUACGUCUUGGGCGACACACGUGCUACAAUGGCCGGUACAGAGGGCAGCUACCACGCGAGUGGAUGCGAAUCUCGAAAGCCGGUCUCAGUUCGGAUUGGAGUCUGCAACUCGACUCUAUGAAGCUGGAAUCGCUAGUAAUCGCAUAUCAGCCAUGAUGCGGUGAAUACGUUCCCGGGUCUUGUACACACCG
rnacentral:rRNA from 1 species